rnacentral:rRNA from 1 species
UCGGGAAUUUUGGGCAAUGGGCGAAAGCCUGACCCAGCAACGCCGCGUGAGGGAUGAAGUAUUUCGGUAUGUAAACCUCGAAAGAAUGGGAAGAAUAAAUGACGGUACCAUUUAUAAGCUCCGGCUAACUACGUGCCAGCAGCCGCGGUAAUACGUAGGGAGCAAGCGUUGUUCGGAUUUACUGGGCGUAAAGGGCGCGUAGGCGGCGCGGUAAGUCACUUGUGAAAUCUCUGAGCUUAACUCAGAACGGCCAAGUGAUACUGCUGUCCUAGAGUGCGGAAGAGGCAACCGGAAUUCUUGGUGUAGCGGUGAAAUGCGUAGAUAUCAAGAGGAACACCAGAGGCGAAGGCGGGUUGCUGGGCCGACACUGACGCUGAUGCGCGAAAGCCAGGGGA